CCCUUUUGUGCUUUACAAAUCUAUUUAUUUAGCAUUGAGAGCUCCCUUUUAUAGAUAUCUAAGGAGAUCAGAUUACAUGAAAUGUAAAACAAGAAACUGUUAUUUGAAAGAAAAAACAAAUAGUUGUUGGAUUUACUUUCUUCAACUUUCCACCUUAAAUUCAACUUUAUAUUUUCUUCAAGUGUCUUCUAUAUCUGAAAAAUUUUAUCCUUAUUCAAGUAGAUCGAAUCCUAUCAACUCGAGGUACUUGUGGAGCUUCAACUUCGACAUUGGUUUUGUGAGCAUGUCCACUGGGUUGUCAGAGGAAAUUGAGCAAUUGGAUGAGAACAAGCAAUUUUGGAAUGCUGCACGCAAUGCUGCACGCUACGAUUAGUAAUGUUGAAAUUAUUGUCAGCGUUGCAACACUAUGUUAGAGCAUUACAAUGCUGCGACUGCUGUCUAUAUAAGUAGUUUCUGGCCUAUUUUAUUCGAGGAGGCACUUUUAGGGCUAUUUUGAGAGCGUAAAGAAAUAUUUUGGUGAGGCCUCCCUAGGGAGUGUAAUUCUAUACCGAGGUGGCAUCUCGGAGCUUCAAAGGAUUGAAAAUUUGAAUAGUUUGUUGGGUUGUGAUUCCGGAUUCGAGGGCAAGAGUCAAGAACACGGCUUGCAAUUUCUUUGCUCUUUUAUUUUCUGUCCUUUGUGUGUGGAAAUCUCAUGAAUGGUCUAUGUUUGUGUUGUAACCCUAAGUGACUAAUUUGUGUUUCUAGGGUGGUGAUUUAGUUUGAUGGAUUGCAAAAACUGAA